AGAGUUUGAUCAUGGCUCAGAAUCAACGCUGGCGGCGUGCCUCAGACAUGCAAGUCGAACGCGAAAGCCCUUCGGGGCAAGUAGAGUGGCGCACGGGUGAGUAACACGUAGGUAAUCUACCUUUGGAUUGGGAAUAACAACCGGAAACGGUUGCUAAUACCGAAUAAUGCAGCGGCACCUAAUGGUGACAGUUGUUAAAGCGGGGGAUCGCAAGACCUCGCGUCUGAAGAGGAGCCUGCGGCAGAUUAGCUAGUUGGUAAGGUAAUGGCUUACCAAGGCGAUGAUCUGUAGCCGGCCUGAGAGGGCGGUCGGCCACACUGACACUGACAUACGGGUCAGACUCCUACGGGAGGCAGCAGUCGGGAAUUUUGGGCAAUGGGCGAAAGCCUGACCCAGCAACGCCGCGUGAAGGAUGAAAUCCCUCGGGAUGUAAACUUCGCAAGAACGGGAAGAAUAAGUGAGAGCUAACAUCUCUUACGAUGACGGUACUGUUUGUAAGCUCCGGCUAACUCCGUGCCAGCAGCCGCGGUAAUACGGGGGGAGCAAGCGUUGUUCGGAUUUACUGGGCGUAGAGGGCGCGUAGGCGGCCACCGCAAGUCGACUGUGAAAUCUCCGGGCUUAACCCGGAACGGUCAGCCGAUACUGCGGGGCUAGAGCGCAGAAGGGGCAACUGGAAUUCUCGGUGUAGCGGUGAAAUGCGUAGAUAUCGAGAGGAACAC
rnacentral:rRNA from 1 species